UAUGAUUUUAAAUCAGGUAAAUAACGAUGCAGGAAAUGUGUUGGGAAGAAGCGAAUAGAGAUUUCAGUAUGUUACCUGUAUCUGGUUUUUAUGCUGGAACUGUGAGAUAUCCGAUUUUUAAAGUGCCUAGCACAAGGCUAGUCGAUCACCGGUAUGUUUAACAUAACAUAAUAAUGUCUAUGAUAAACUGAACUGUAAAAAUUUAAAUUUGAAAGAAGUAAGCCUAAGUGAUGAACCAUGCAUCAAAAUUCUUACAGUAAGGAAGAUUAUAGAUUGUAAUACGAAGCAAUAGUGCAAGUGUCGGUCUUACACGAGACUACGAUGAAUUAAGAUAGCUUUUAAAGCGCCCCCAAUACAAGGUCAUUUUUUUAAUGCAGAGAUUUUAUCUUAAACUAAUUUAAAAACCAAGUAAAUUGUAAAUUAUAAAUUGUAAUUGUAAAACCAAUUUGAAGAAUGCUUAACAUAACAUGGUGGACAUAACAAGUGGAUUACAGUUUGUUGUACAACACAAAUUGAAGCAUCCGGAUGAACAUUUCACGGGUUUAUUGAUAAAAUAAACGCAGGCCCCGCAGGUAUCUUCUACUAGGUUGAGGUCCAUGGCCCCGUUGAUAUAGUGUAAUCGUCGCGACCAUCGUCUUUGUCACGCAGCUGGCCUAGGUUCGAUUCCCUAGACCGAGUGACAGGGCGCCGGCACUGGACCAACAACCCCGCCCAUGAAAACACAAUGUUGCUGUGCGCCACGGAUACUAACAUUGUUGUCUGUUGAAAUUGGCGCAUAAGAAGAAGAAUCACUUAUCACGGCAGAACUCCUUAGAAGAGGCUAAGGGCCUAAACCUCCGUACGGAUUUUU